ensembl:lncRNA
UCUGUCACUUUUAGAAGCAGCUGAAUAUCAGUCCAUCCUGCUUGGAAUAACAAUCACUAUUACAAGGUGGCCGAGGAUUCAAGCAUCGUCUGAUCUGAGUCUGUCAGCACAGUACAAAUAUGGCAGAAUUCUCCUCUGAGCGUCCACUGUCUGACAUGGCAGACAAAUGAAAUAAACUAGCGAGAGUGUGAAAAGUGUGUUUGAGG